UGAGCUUGUUAUAAAUCAUGCAACAUCGUCAAAGGUCAAUUGCUGCAACAUGUCAGGUAUGCAGAUCCAAUUGACCCUACAUGUGAAGGUGCUUAUAUAUACCCACCACGGAGAAGCUCACUGCCAUUUAGGCCGCUCCCACUGUGUAGGAGUUUGCUACCAGGAGGCUACCCACAUCGUAGAGGAUCUGAGUUGGAACUUCAAAUAAUUUGAUCGGUUCUUUGUCAUUUGGUCAACAUCCAUUAGAGCUUCUCCCCCCAUUUUCUCUUGACCUCAAACUCCCAUUGCACCCCAUCCGCAGGAAUCAUUGUGCCAACGACGCCACUCAACAUCUCUGUUUCCCCUCUCAUCCUUCCACAUUCUUCUCUCAACAAAAUGGCAUGGGAGGAGGCUUUACAAUACAACUUCAAGUGUUUGAUAUUGCCACAUGAAGAAGCUAGCAAUUUAUUUAGUUGCAUGUAGUGAGCAUGAACUUAGUUCUUCACCAAACAAUCUUCCAAUUAUUUAUCUUGUUCCAAGCGGUAGCUAAAUUGUAUUAAUCAAACAAUUCAAGGAAGAUCAUAUCAAGUGCAUCACCUGAAUACCCCCUCUGUCCAAAAACAAGUUAUUUAAGAAUUCAAAAUUUAUCAAAACGUGUCAUUAUUCUCUAUUUGGUACGUACAUCAGUACAUAGUACAUGUGCAAGCGGCUGUCAAUUAGCAUCAAAUAUGACUAAUAAAUAGGGCAACUAAUGUCAUUUCACAUCCUUUUUAAUCUGUUCGAGAUUUACUAGGAUGAAUUUCUUUUUGAGAUGGAGGGAGUAUGUGAUUCUACCCAUUGCAUGCCUAUAGUUAGUAGUAAGCCAUGUCCGUGAAAAAAAGAUAAACAAUAAAAAUAACUUAGAAAGAAGCCCAUGAAAAGCAACCUAUUUAAUUUGGCUCUAAAUAUAUUUUUUGCCCCUCACCCCCUCCGUAACCAAAUGUGCUACACAGCCCCAUACUAAGGCCCAAGGCCUUCACCCCUAGUUCCC
rnacentral:lncRNA from 1 species